rnacentral:rRNA from 1 species
UAAGGAAUAUUGGUCAAUGGACGCAAGUCUGAACCAGCCAUGCCGCGUGGAGGAUGAAGGUCCUCUGGAUUGUAAACUUCUUUUAUCUGGGAAGAAAUCCACAUUUUCCAAUGUGGUUGACGGUACCAGGUGAAUAAGCACCGGCUAACUCCGUGCCAGCAGCCGCGGUAAUACGGAGGGUGCAAGCGUUAUCCGGAUUCACUGGGUUUAAAGGGUGCGUAGGCGGGUUGGUAAGUCCGUGGUGAAAUCCCCAAGCUUAACUUGGGAACUGCCGUGGAUACUAUCAAUCUUGAAUAUCGUGGAGGUAAGCGGAAUAUGUCAUGUAGCGGUGAAAUGCUUAGAUAUGACAUAGAACACCAAUUGCGUAGGCAGCUUACUACACGAUCAUUGACGCUGAGGCACGAAAGCGUGGGGAGCAAA